rnacentral:RNase_P_RNA from 1 species
CAAGUGGGACGGGUGAUCGCAGGUUCCCGCAAGGGGAACUGAGGAAAGUCCGAGCUCCGUAGGGCAGGAUGCUGGGUAACGCCCAGUGGGGGAGACCCCGAGGAUAGUGCCACAGAAAUAUACCGCCCGGGAUUUUUGCCCUCCGAAACGCCGUAAAAAACCCAUUCAAGGACGAAGGGAAACCUUUUUCGAACAGGCUCGGCGCAGAACAAGGCAAAAAACGCGAUUUCCUGGGUAAGGGUGCAAAGGUAGUGUAAGAGACUACCAGCAAUUGGGUGACCAAUUGGCUAGGUAAACCCCAUCCGGAGCAAGACCAAACAGGGGAGCUAAGGUGGCCCGCCAUUCCCCGGGUUCGGUCGCUAGAGGCGUAAGGUAACUUGCGUCCCAGAUAGAUGAUCAUCGCCCCCGAGGGGGAACAAAACUCGGCUUACAGGCCCACUUGCGGG